GACGAACCUUGCAAACGUUAUUCGGAAUCACUGGGCUUAAAGGGUGCGUAGGCUGUGCAGAAAGUUGGGUGUGAAAUACCUCGGCUUAACCGAGGAAUUGCGCCCAAAACUACUGUGCUCGAGGAAGAUAGAGGUGAGCGGAACUUAGGGUGGAGCGGUGAAAUGCGUUGAUAUCCUAAGGAACACCGGUGGCGAAGGCGGGUCUCUGGGCAGUAACUGACACUAAGACUCGAAAGCGUGGGGAGCAAACAGG
rnacentral:rRNA from 1 species